rnacentral:lncRNA from 1 species
CGCGGGCCCUGCUGACCUCCGCAUUGCGCCCCCCGUGCCCCAUGGCCGCCACCCGAGCACGCGCGCCCUGCUCCGCCGCUCUUCCCUGAUCGCAAGCCCGCACGAGACAGAGGAAGGCAACGAAGGGGCAGACGUGGGGACGCCGCCGGGAACCGGGAAAAGAAGCCGGGAGGGCAGAUCCACACAUACGAGGCCACGACGGAGCUGACCGAAUUGAUGGUCGCGCCGUUCGAAGCGAUGGCGGAGGCAGCCGGCUUCGGGGACGGGAUUGAGGCUUCGUCGGCCCGAUUCAGUGGGGGUAUGGGCUCGGGCAUGUGGAUGCGGUGAAGACGGCCGGAGCUGGCUGGCGGAGAUCGAAGGCGGCACGACGAGGUUGGGUCAGGUGGCCGGGCGCGAAAACAAAGUGAAACAGACCGUUUUUUUACCCGCGCAAGCUUUUCUCGUUGCAGGGAACGAGCUCUCGGUGAGCUGGCUGGAGCUCUUUUUUGCAACUUUUAAGGAACGGUGACAGUUAUUUUAGGGAAAGGAGCUUUUUAGAGAACCUGCAAGAGAUGCUCUUACUUGCAUUUGAAACUUUGGAUGUUACUACCUUAUUUACUUACUCCGUAUUUGCAUUUGGGACCCUUUGGACACUGCUAUUCGUCAUUAUAACCAUGAUGGAAACAAAAC